rnacentral:rRNA from 1 species
UACGUAGGGGGCAAGCGUUGUCCGGAUUUAUUGGGCGUAAAGAGCGUGUAGGCGGCUUGGUAGGUCCGCUGUGAAAACUCGAGGCUCAACCUCGAGAUGUCGGCGGAAACCACUUGGCUAGAGUCUGGAAGAGGAGACUGGAAUUUACGGUGUAGCGGUGAAAUGCGUAGAUAUCGUAAGGAAGACCAGUGGCGAAGGCGGGUCUCUGGACAGUUCCUGACGCUGAGGCACGAAGGUCAGGGGAGCAAACGGG